UAAGCUCGUAGUUGGAUUUCUGUUAAUAAUUUAUAUAUAAUAUUUGAUUAAUAUUUAUAUAAUAUUAACAUAAUUCAUAUUACUAAAUUUAUUAGUAUAUGAAAUUUUACUUUGAGAAAAUUAGAGUGCUUAAAGCAGGCAUAUGCCUUGAAUACUCCAGCAUGGAAUAAUAUUAAAGAUUUUUAUCUUUCUUAUUGGUUCUAAGAUAAAAAUAAUGAUUAAUAGGGACAGUUGGGGGCAUUUGUAUUUAACAGUCAGAGGUGAAAUUCUUAGAUUUGUUAAAGACAAACUAAUGCGAAAGCAUUUGCCAAGGAUGUUUUCAUUAAUCAAGAACGAAAGUUAGGGGAUCGAAGACGAUCAGAUACCGUCGUAGUCUUAACCAUAAACUAUGCCAACUAGAGAUUGGAGGUUGUUCCUUACUC
rnacentral:rRNA from 1 species